UACGGCCGCAUCACGUUGAAAAACCGGUUCCCGUACGAUCACCGAAGCUAAGCAACGUCGAUUCUGGUCGAUACUUAGAUGGGUGACCGUUUGGGAAUAACAGGUUCUGUAAG